rnacentral:pre_miRNA from 1 species
CUUAUACUCCCUCCGUCCCAAAAUUCUUGUCUUAGAUUUGUCUAAAUACGAAUGUAUCAAGUCACGUUUUAGUAUUAGAUACAUCCAUAUCUAGACAAAUCUAAGUCAAGAAUUUUGGGACGGAGGGAGUAUUUC